rnacentral:rRNA from 1 species
CACCGCGGUUAUACGAGGGACCCAAGUUGAUGGCCUCCGGCGUAAAGCGUGGUUAAGAUGAAACAUGUAUUAAAGCCGAACGCAAGCUACGCUGUUAUACGCAUACGAAAAUAGAAGCCCAAUUACGAAAGUAGCUUUAUAUAACUGACUCCACGAAAGCCAGGGCA